GUUGAUUUUUUGAAUCCCAUAAACCCUAUUGAGAAGCUAGAUAGAGCUUACCAUCAUAAGAGAAAACUUAGAUUUUACAACUCUGAGAUGCAUAGGGCUGCUUUUGCAUUGCCUCCAUUCUUGAAGAGGGAGGUGAGGCUACUUCGAGACUGAUGCGGCGGAACAAGGAACUUGCCUCUCCUGAAGUAAAUAUGUAGACUUGCGAUUGGUUAACUUAUUCCCAUAAACUGAAAUACUUUCAUUCAGGACAUAGGCAGUAAAUAAAUGUUUUCAACAUGUAGGUGCAAUUGGAGCCAUUCUAGUAUGUAUUAUGGUUUUAUUUCAAGGAAUACAUAGCAU